ensembl:lncRNA
GGAACAGUUUGCCUCCCUGCUGAAAAACAACAUGUGAGAAGAAACUGCUCUCUUUCUACUUCAGCUGUUGGAGGAUUUUCUGCUUAGAAUUUUGAUCAUGAGAAAGGCUGAGGACAAAAGCCAACUCCAGACAAAAUGGAGCAAAAGGAAGGAAAGAAUGUGAUAGCACCAUUCCGAUCGGAGUUAAUCAACUCUGGACCGCCUACCUCUGGACUUCUUGAACCCCCAUUUAUUUCCAUAUGAUCAAAGAACGUGACCCUCUACAGUCCCUGCAAGUGAAUGAUCAUGGCUCAACUAAGUCACUCGUGGCCGUUCUCUGCUUCUCCAGUGAAUGUGUUAUGCAUGGAUGGAAGCAGAAUGCUGACAAACUUUUCCUGAUGAGCAGUUUGCUUAUUUUCUGACAUCAUGACAAUAACUGGUGAGGAAGGAAGAUGCAGAUGCAGUGUGCAGGAAACACAUCAAGGGACUUGAAAGCUGCUUCCACCUGCUUCCGUCUUUACUGGAAAUCCUCAUGAGCCUCAGUGAAGGCUGCAUCCAUUUAAGACUGCCUUUUUUUCCUUUUUUCUGGGCUAUGUGAACUAUGAUUGCAAUUAGCUUGGACAUCAACAUUGUAAGCGGGUGAGAGCUAAUGGUUACCAGGUAUAAACACUCACAAGAUAGGCUAAAACUGACAGUUUUCAUGUAAUCAGCUCCAUGCAGCAGCCACCUCGGGCUGUAGUUCUGAGUAUGGGACAUCUGGAGCUGCACUUUAAUUGCUGGUUGUAAUAGUUGCACAGCUGUUUGUAACAUUUCUGGCUAUGUUAAUCAUGGCUGCAGUCAUGCUUAUUGGAAAGCUACACUGGAGAGGCCAAUGCAUGAGUAUCGACAGUUGUUGACUUAGAAAGUCACAUUGUAUAUUUCCUUACUGAGCAUCAUACAAAGAAAAAUCAAAAGUGCAAAAAGAAUAAAGUUUAAUAAAAAUCUCAAUUCAUCAAUCUCCAAGCAUAUCUGUGUCCAGAAACAUUAACAGAUCAUUUCCUGAAACGUACAACCAAACCACUCAAAGGGAGGGUCUAUCACUGUGUUUCAGGAAACUCACUCACUGUGGAAACAUGAGGGCUGUUUACCCUCAUGUUUGCCUUCUUUUACCUUCUUUAAAAGCUUAUAUCUAUCAGAGCAUCCUUCAAGAAUUGAAUGUGAUAUAUGAUAGAAAAAAGUAGUAAGUUCCAGAGAAGAGAUAAGAACCUCCAUGCUCUGGACUAGACAGAAAAAUGUGUGUUUCUUUCCCUACAUGCAUAAUGAGUUCUCUGUGCUCUAACACUGUUCAGAAAACUCUGGGCCUAGAGACAAGUUACAGUUUCCACUCUGCACUGCCAAUUGGGAGAUCUUGGGCAAAUCAUUUUGCUUUUCUAAGCCUCAGUUUCCUAAUCAGUAAAAAGAAAGAAUUGGGCUAGAUUAUUUGUGAAGUCUUUUGCAUCUCUCAUAUCUUUUGUAUGGACCUGAUUUUUUUUUCUUUUUGGUGAGGAAGAUUGGCUCUGAGCUAACAUCUGUUGUCAAUCUUCCUCUUUUUGCUUGAGAAAGAUUGUUGCUGAGCUAACAUCUAUG